ACACAUGCAAGUCGAGGGGCAUCACGAGGUAGCAAUACUUUGGUGGCGACCGGCGCACGGGUGCGUAACGCGUAUGUAACCUACCUAUAACAGGGGCAUAACACUGAGAAAUUGGUACUAAUUCCCCAUAAUAUUCGGAGAGGCAUCUCUCCGGGUUGAAAACUCCGGUGGUUAUAGAUGGACAUGCGUUGUAUUAGCUAGUUGGUGAGGUAACGGCUCACCAAGGCAACGAUACAUAGGGGGACUGAGAGGUUAACCCCCCACACUGGUACUGAGACACGGACCAGACUCCUACGGGAGGCAGCAGUGAGGAAUAUUGGUCAAUGGACGCAAGUCUGAACCAGCCAUGCCGCGUGCAGGAAGACGGCUCUAUGAGUUGUAAACUGCUUUUGUACGAGGGUAAACUCACCUACGUGUAGGUGACUGAAAGUAUCGUACGAAUAAGGAUCGGCUAACUCCGUGCCAGCAGCCGCGGUAAUACGGAGGAUUCAAGCGUUAUCUGGAUUUAUUGGGUUUAAAGGGUGCGUAGGCGGUUUGAUAAGUUAGAGGUGAAAUCCCGGGGCUUAACUCCGGAACUGCCUCUAAUACUGUUAGACUAGAGAGUAGUUGCGGUAGGCGGAAUGUAUGGUGUAGCGGUGAAAUGCUUAGAGAUCAUACAGAACACCGAUUGCGAAGGCAGCUUACCAAACUAUAUCUGACGUUGAGGCACGAAAGCGUGGGGAGCAAACAGGAUUAGAUACCCUGGUAGUCCACGCAGUAAACGAUGAUAACUCGUUGUCGGCGAUACACAGUCGGUGACUAAGCGAA
rnacentral:rRNA from 1 species